UCAGCUGUGCAAACCAUCCUAACACUCUCAAGUCCACACCAAUCACCUCCUCUGGGAUUGCAGCCAUCCUUGGGGCAUUACUUUGCUCAAGUGAAUCACGAAUGG